rnacentral:rRNA from 1 species
CGGAGGAUCCAAGCGUUAUCCGGAAUCAUUGGGUUUAAAGGGUCCGUAGGCGGUUUUAUAAGUCAGUGGUGAAAUCUGGUCGCUCAACGAUCAAACGGCCAUUGAUACUGUAAGACUUGAAUUACUUGGAAGUAACUAGAAUAUGUAGUGUAGCGGUGAAAUGCUUAGAGAUUACAUGGAAUACCAAUUGCGAAGGCAGGUUACUACAAGUAUAUUGACGCUGAUGGACGAAAGCGUGGGGAGCGAACAGGAUUAGAUACCCUGGUAGUCCACGCCGUAAACGAUGGAUACUAGCUGUUAGGAGCAAUCUGAGUGGCUAAGCGAAAGUGAUAAGUAUCCCACCUGGGGAGUACGCUCGCAAGAGUG